rnacentral:rRNA from 1 species
GGGGAAUCUUAGACAAUGGGCGCAAGCCUGAUCUAGCCAUGCCGCGUGAGCGAUGAAGGCCUUAGGGUUGUAACGCUCUUUCAGUGGGGAAGAUAAUGACUGUACCCACAGAAGAAGCCCCGGCUAACUUCGUGCCAGCAGCCGCGGUAAUACGAAGGGGGCUAGCGUUGUUCGGAAUUACUGGGCGUAAAGCGCACGUAGGCGGAUCGAUCAGUCAGGGGUGAAAUCCCAGAGCUCAACUCUGGAACUGCCUUUGAUACUGUCGAUCUAGAGUAUGGAAGAGGUGAGUGGAAUUCCGAGUGUAGAGGUGAAAUUCGUAGAUAUUCGGAGGAACACCAGUGGCGAAGGCGGCUCACUGGUCCAUUACUGACGCUGAGGUGCGAAAGCGUGGGGAGCAAA